rnacentral:rRNA from 1 species
UACGUAGGGUGCAAGCGUUAAUCGGAAUUACUGGGCGUGAAGCGUGCGCAGGCGGUUAUGUAAGACAGUUGUGAAAUCCCCGGGCUCAACCUGGGAAUUGCAUCUGUGACUGCAUAGCUAGAGUACGGUAGAGGGGGAUGGAAUUCCGCGUGUAGCAGUGAAAUGCGUAGAUAUGCGGAGGAACACCGAUGGCGAAGGCAAUCCCCUGGACCUGUACUGACGCUCAUGCACGAAAGCGUGGGGAGCAAACAGG